ACGGGAGGCAGCAGUGGGGAAUAUUGCACAAUGGGGGAAACCCUGAUGCAGCGAUGCCGCGUGAAGGAUGAAGGGUUUCGGCUCGUAAACUUUUAUCGAUAGUGAAGAAAAAAAUGACGGUAACUAAGUAAGAAGCUCCGGCUAACUAUGUGCCAGCAGCCGCGGUAAUACAUAGGGAGCAAGCGUUAUCCGGAUUUACUGGGUGUAAAGGGUGCGUAGGUGGCAUGGCAAGUCAGUCGUUAAAGACCAGAGCUUAACUCUGGACCAGCGAUUGAAACUGUCAAGCUAGAGUACAGGAGAGGUAAGUGGAAUUCCUAGUGUAGCGGUGAAAUGCGUAGAUAUUAGGAGGAACACCAGUGGCGAAGGCGGCUUACUGGACUGUAACUGACGCUGAGGCACGAAAGCGUGGGGAGCAAACAGGAUUAGAUACCCUGGUA
rnacentral:rRNA from 1 species